CAGUGAUUAGCCAAUUAUUGAGAGGAAGCUCUGGGCCCUUUUCAUGGCCAUUGCUGAGAAAGCCCGGGAACUUUCCUGGGAAAGUCUGGGAACAUUCAUGGCCAUUGCUGGGAAAGGCUUCUGUGAGGCGAGGCCCUGACAAGAAUGCCAAUAUAUAGUGAAACCUCUUCCAUCAUAUAGGGAAAAAGGAGAGCUGUGUCUCUCUCUCUGCAACCUUUGGAAUAUAGAUGGUGGGUUUUAUGAAGAUUCAGACACUGGCAUGAAUGACAAAGGAGGAACAAAUUCACCUGGUAGGCUGCGGCAAAAGCAAGAGAGGGAGCAAGCAAACAAAAACCUUCAGGGAGAGUAUAAACCACAAACAUUCCUCCAUCCAUGUACAGCAUCUCCAUCACCAUCCAUGUACAGCAUCUAUAUACUGGAUUUUUAUAUUGUGAGCCCUUUGGGGCCAAGGAGCCAUCUCCUUUAUUUAUUAUUCAUUGUUCUAUGUACACUGCUUUGAGAAUUCUUGUUGAAAAGCAGUAUAUAUAAAUAGUAGGGGUCGUCAUCUUUGCAAUUCCCCCACAUCUUUGUA